GGCCCAGUGUUUUUGGAUGCUUUCUCCAUGCAUAUAAAUUGGGCUGCUUUAUGAGAAUUCAUAGUAUUUACCUCAGGUAAUGUAGGAACAGGUUUCCCGAGCAUGAUGAGUAACUCACUUGGCCUUAUCUUCUCAUACAUACACACAAAGUUAUGUUGCUUUUGCACAUAAGGUUAUAUUGUAGAAUUGCUCUUUUCCCUUUUUUAUGCUUGAGGUCUCCUGGUCAUCACUCAACUCAAAUAUGGAGCCCUUCCCUGCUUCCCUCAGUCAGAACAAAUCUUACUUCUCUGCAUUCCUGGGAUUCUUAUUGUAUGCUCCCUCCUUUAAAAAAAUUGAGGGAGCCCUUCCUUGCUUCUCUCAGUCAGAACAAAUCUCUUACUUCUCUGCAUUCCUGGGGUUAUUGUAUGCCCCCUCCUUUAAAAAAAUUGAGGUAUAAAUUACAUACCAUAAAAUUACCUCAAGUGUACAAUUCAGUGCUUUUUCAUAUAUUGGCAAGGUUUUGCAAAUAUUAACAAUUCCAGAACAUCUUGAUCACCCCAAAAGGAAACCAACACCCAUUAGCAGUCACUCCCUAUUACUCCUUUCCCCCAGCCCCUGGCAACCACUGAUCUACUUUAUGUCUGUACGAAUUUGCCUAUUCUGGACAUAUCAUCUAAAUGCAGUCAUAAAAUACGUGGCUUUUUGUGCCUGGCUUCUUUCACUUUAUAAUGUUCCCACAUUCAUCCAUGUUGUAGCAUGUAUCAGAAUUUCAUUUUGUUUUAUAGCCAAAUGAUAGUCUGUUGUAUGUAUAUACUACAUUUUAUCCAUUCAUUAGUUCAUAGAUUUUUGUGUUGAUUGCACUUUUUGGCUACUAUCAAUAAUGCUAUAAUGAAGAUUUGUGUACAGCUUUUUCUGUGGACAUAUGGAGUGGAAUGGCUGCAUCUUAAUGGCAACCCUGUGAUAAACUUUUUGAGGAACUGCCAGUUUUCCAAAGCAGGCGCCCGCACCAUUUGACAUUCCCAUCAGCAGUGUGUGAGGGUUCCAGUGUUCCCACAUCCAGUACUUAUUAUUUUCUGUCUUUUUGAUUAUAGGUAUCUUUGUGGGUGUGAAAUGAUAUCUCAUUGUAAUUUUGAUUUGUUUCUAAUGACUAGUUUCAUUGAGCAUCUUUUCAUGUACUUACUGGCCAUGUGCCCCAAUUGCUAAAACUUAGCACACUGUUUUGUGAUAAUUUCCUAGUUUGCCUCCUUUGCUAACUAGAAUUUCUGGGAGCAGAACUUAUGCUUUUUUUUUUUAAUCUUCAUGACCCUGACAGCAGGACAGCACUUGGUACUAAUGUGCUCUAAAAUAAUUCAAUUGGAAAAGGAAGUAGUAUCCUUUUCUAGGUAGUACCUGACUAUAUUUAGAAAUCAAAAAUAAAUUGAGAAAGUGAAAGGUUUUGUAUCUCACCUCACCCCCAAAUCCAUACACACAUUCACUCACAUAUAAAAUUUUUCCUGAGACAGUGAUUUUAAUAUUUUGUUUUAUAUCCUUGUAGACCUUUUAUUUAUUUAUUUAUUUAUUUAUUUAUUUAUUUAUUUAUUUGAGACAGAGUCUCACUCUGUCGCCCAGGCUGGAGUGCAGUGACAUGACCUUGGCUCAUUGCAAGCUCCGCCUCCCGGGUUCAUGCCGUUCUCCUGCCUCAGCCUCCUGAGCAGCUGGGACUACAGGCGCCCGCCACCAUGCCCGGCUAAUUUUUUGUAUUUUUAGUAGAGACAGGGUUUCACUGUGUUAGCCAGGAUCGUCUCGAUCUCCUGACCUCACGAUCCGCCCACCUCAGCCUCUCAAAGUGCGGGAUUAUAGACGUGAGCCACCGCGCCCGGCCUUUUACUCGUUUAUUAUAUGCACUUUAAAAAAGAAAAAACAUUUAAAAACCAAAGUUAUAUGUACACAUGGAACAGUUGUAAACAGUAUCAUAUAAAGAAGAAAAAGGCUUUCUUUAAUAUCUGAUCACCAGUGUCCUUUCUCUAGAGGCAACUGCUGUUAAUCAGGUUUUCCAGUGUGUCCUUCAGGGGCACUGUUAUCCAGAGAUAAAAGCAUGUAACACUUUUGUGUAUUGUGGAUGUAUUUUAUAUGCUGUUUUGUAAGUACCUUUUUUUCUCUUCACAAGUAACGUGUAUAUCUUUUCAUGUCACUAUACAUAUAGUUGGUCAUUUAGUCAGUAAGUAAGUGUUUUUGAGUGGCUAUCGUGUACUAACAUUGAGAAUAGCAGCAAAUUGAACAGGUAGUGUUCCUAGGAGCUUCAGGUUAUCCUUUCUUAAGGACUUCCUAGUAUUUCAAUGUAUUGGCUAUGCCAUAAUUUAUCCUCUACUGAUAGAAAACUAGGUCGUUUCCAGUUUUGCCCUAUUAUAAGCAACCCUGUUUUGAACACUCCAAUAAUUUAUCUUUCCCACUUGUUAUUUCCUUGGGGAAAAAGUCUAAAAAAUUGAACUUUCCAAAGGUUAAAUAUAUUGUGUCUUGACCACUGUUGCCCUCCAGAGAUAUGUCAGUUUACAUUUACACAAUUUAUACUUCUCUCAAUCUAUAUAGCAUUUGAGAGAACCUGUCCCACCCUCUCCAUACUCUUUGCCAGUCUGAGAGGACAGAAAUAAUUUUAUUGAUGUUUUAUGCAUUUCUCUUAUUAGUGAGAAUACGCACCAUCUCAUGGUUAGUGGCCAUUGAUCUCUAUGUUGCUAAAUCAUGUGUUCCCUUGCUUAUCUUUAUCUGCCUUGAUGUUGACCAUCCUUUGCUUCUCACCACAGCUUUCUUUUGGUUCUGCAGUAACGUGCUCUUGUUUUCUCUGGACCUACCUCCUCAUCCACUGUUAGACCUCUCAGUGUCUGACUGCCUUAGACUGGGUUAUUGCCCUUGUUUCUUAUCUUCAUUUUGUGCCAUCAGAUACAUUUGGAUGGCAGUGAUUGUCAAAUUCAUGUCGCCAGCCCCAAACUGGAGCACCAGACUCAUGCCUUAAUGCCUCCUUAGUGUCCUCACUUGGCUGUUUAAUAGGCAUAUCCACUUGAACACUGCCAAAGUAUGCUUGAAUCCCACCCUCACCUCCAACACUUAAAAACAAAUAUUCUCCUUCUCCAGGGAUUUCCAUCUUGUUGAAACCACAAACAUAAGUAUACUCUAGAGUCUCUUUUCUUGCUCACCUUCUAUAUACCUGUUGCUGUCUUCCUGCUUGCAUUCUGAGUCUGGCAUCCUUUCUGUUCCUGGGCUUAACCAUGCUUUUCCUGCCUUCAGACUUUUGUAUCAUUUACAUUGCUCUGUGCUUAGCCAGACCCUCAGAGAGGUAUUCCCUGUCCACCCCAAUCCAGUGGAGGGCUUCCUAGUCACUCUAUCAUGUUACUUUUAUUUUCUUCACAGGAUUUAUCUUGUAUAUUUGUUCAUCUGUCUCUGCCCUUUGAAAAUUUAGUUUUUGUGGCAGCAAGGGUCUUGUCUUUUGGUUCACUGCCAUAUAACUAUCUAGAGUAGUGAUAUACAGGAGUUAUUCAGUAAAAUAAUUUAUAUUUGUGUGGAUUGCUCAUUAAUACUCUAUGUACAUUUUACUGUCUUCUAGGGAUCUCUUCUGGAUUAAGGCCAUUAACUCAUCGUUAUAAAUUUUCUAGUUUAUCAAUCAUUUGUCUUCAAACCUUGUUCAUAGUGUUUUCUUACGUAGACUAUUUACGUGAACAAAUAAACAGGAAAUAGGAGUCAUCAGUCUUUGCUUUCUUCUGAGUUUUGUUGCUUUUUGAAAAUGUCUGAUUUAUACCUUUUUUCUGGUCUGUAUAAAUCGUUUUUCCCUGUACCUGCUGUUUCUCUGUUAGAAUUGUUUAAAAAAUGAUUUUUACUUUAUUUUACUUAAGGCAUAAGAAGUUCUCUGUGGUUAAAAUAUUAGUACGUGAACUUUGUCAUCUAUGAACAAGUUCCUUUAGAAGCUGAGCUCUGAUAGUGAUGUCAAAUAGCCACCUGUUACUUGAAGACGAUGUUUGCAUACCUGGCCCCUCCUUUAUCACUGCUGUUGCUGCCAUUGUUGAUGACAUGAUGUGGAAGGGCAGUGAGAAAUUUGAUACUUGUUCAUCUAUCUGUUGGACUCAACUAGUGUUGCUUUAGUUUUUAAUCUUUUUAUCUGAAACGGAGAGUCUAUUAUAAUUUGUCAUUUUAUUCAUUGCAGCGGUUGUGGAACAGGAAAUGAAAAAGGACUGGCUUUUUGCCCCUCAUUAUCGAUACUAUGUAAGAGAAAUGAGAAUUCAUGCAUACAGUCAGCUGCUGGAAUCAUAUAGGUCAUUAACCCUUGGCUAUAUGGCAGAAGCGUUUGGUGUUGGUGUGGAAUUCAUUGAUCAGGAACUGUCCAGGUUUAUUGCUGCCGGGAGACUACACUGCAAAAUAGAUAAAGUGAAUGAAAUAGUAGAAACCAACAGACCUGAUAGCAAGAACUGGCAGUACCAAGAAACUAUCAAGAAAGGAGAUCUGCUACUAAACAGAGUUCAAAAACUUUCCAGAGUAAUUAAUAUGUAAAGCCAUGUAACUAACAAAGGAUUUGCUUUAGAGAUAAUUAUUUGGAUUUUUAUAGCUUACUUCACAAUGUGCCCAGGUCAACUGUAUAAAAUAAAUACUGCAUUGUUGUUUCU
rnacentral:sRNA from 1 species